AUGCAAGUCGAACGGCAGCACAGUAAGAGCUUGCUCUUAUGGGUGGCGAGUGGCGGACGGGUGAGGAAUACAUCGGAAUCUACUUUUUCGUGGGGGAUAACGUAGGGAAACUUACGCUAAUACCGCAUACGACCUACGGGUGAAAGCAGGGGAUCUUCGGACCUUGCGCGAUUGAAUGAGCCGAUGUCGGAUUAGCUAGUUGGCGGGGUAAAGGCCCACCAAGGCGACGAUCCGUAGCUGGUCUGAGAGGAUGAUCAGCCACACUGGAACUGAGACACGGUCCAGACUCCUACGGGAGGCAGCAGUGGGGAAUAUUGGACAAUGGGCGCAAGCCUGAUCCAGCCAUACCGCGUGGGUGAAGAAGGCCUUCGGGUUGUAAAGCCCUUUUGUUGGGAAAGAAAUCCAGCUGGUUAAUACCCGGUUGGGAUGACGGUACCCAAAGAAUAAGCACCGGCUAACUUCGUGCCAGCAGCCGCGGUAAUACGAAGGGUGCAAGCGUUACUCGGAAUUACUGGGCGUAAAGCGUGCGUAGGUGGUCGUUUAAGUCUGUUGUGAAAGCCCUGGGCUCAACCUGGGAACUGCAGUGGAAACUGGACGACUAGAGUGUGGUAGAGGGUAGCGGAAUUCCUGGU
rnacentral:rRNA from 1 species